rnacentral:rRNA from 1 species
AUUAAGGCUCCUGAUACAACAAUGAAGUUUGAAAUUUUUGAGGAGGCUGUUGCUCACUAUGAGCUAUAUGCACUCAUAAAUGGAUUUGGGACAAGGAUAGAGUACACAAGAACACUAAAGGACAACAUAGUGAGCAGAGCACUCCUGUUGUGUGGGAAAGGCGGCAAGCCAAAGAAGAAGAAGGAGGAGAUGCAGGAUGUACUGAACCCAGAAGGCAUCGUCAAGAAGAGAAAAAGGCGUAAGAUUGUGAGGACUGAGUGUCCAGCCAACCUUUAUCUUAUGCACAAGGAUGCGUGGUGGAGAGUUGAACGCUUUGACGACAACCACAACCAUCCACUGAUAAGAAAGCCAUCUCUGACAAAAUUUCUAGCCUCACAUCGGGACAUUCCCAAAGAUGAGCAAGAUUUCUUACGGAUUCUACAUGAAUGCAACAUAGAGACCGCGAGGCAAAUGCAACUAAUUUCAUGGUUCUAUGGUGAUGCUGAGAAUGUACCAUACACAACACAGGACCUUGCAAAUCAGCGAGCCAAAUUUUGCAAGGAGUAUCGUAAUGCAGACGUGGGGAGCAUAAUUGCAUACUUUGUGGAGCUAAGGGCAAAGGAUCCAGAUUCCUAUUGGAGAAUGAAACUUGAUGAUGAAGACAGGGAUCAUGGGCAAACGGACAACGAACAUUUCCACUGGCUGUGGGAAAACAGGGAAUGCUGGGUCCCGGUGUACUACAUGCAUGACUUUUUCCCAUUCUUAUAGACAGCGGCAAGGAGCGAGGGAUUCAAUGCUGUGUUGAAGAAGUACGUCAACCCAAAUAACUCGCUAGUAGAAUUUACAAAACAGUACGCUACAAUACAGGAGAAGGUGAUGGUGAGCGUGUAAAAAGAGCACCUGGAAACAAUGUACAAAGAGGUGGAAACAUACUCCUUCAACCCACUCGAGUUACAGGUGCAGGGCCUCUACACGCAUAAUCUUUUCUCCAAAUUCCAGAUGGAGAUGAAGGUGAAAACUGGCUACAGAUGUGACAUGUUGCAAGAUGGGUCUUUCAAGGUUGGCUCAGUCAGAGGAAUCAUACCAAAAUAUGAGGAUAGGGACUACCAUGUGCAAGCAAACAAGGAUGAAGGGACAUAUUCAUGCACUUGCUGCAAGUUUGAGCGAGAUGGUAUACUCUGCGCACAUGUGUUACGAGUGAUGGACCGGAUCGGGGUGUACGAGAUACAUGAGAAGUAUAUUCUAAAGAGGUGGACUUGGGAUCAGGAGGAAGAUCUAAUCAAACCUGAUUUUGAACAACCAACAGUUAGUAAGAGCAUGCCAGAGGGGGGAAAAAGCGUCAUGCGAUAUACAUCAAUGCUAAGGGAGUUCAAGGCAACAGCCAAGGACGCUUGCCUCACAGAUGAUGGGGCCAAGGUGGCCAAUAAGCACCUAUAUGCUUUCAAGGAAGAAAUGGACACGCUAACAAAAAGCCAACGUAGGAAGGCCAAAAAGGACAAGGAAGAAGCUAGAGGAUCAUUUCAAUCACAAUAA